rfam:Hordeum vulgare subsp. vulgare, WGS project CAJW01000000 data, contig: morex_contig_46293
AGUGGCACAAUGAGGAGUUACUUUGCUAAUGCAUCUAUUAUGAGGUUGAAAAGCCAAUGACCUGAUACGUCCUUUUCAUUCCUAUUGUACCUA